rnacentral:rRNA from 1 species
GUGGGGAAUCUUGCGCAAUGGGCGAAAGCCUGACGCAGCCAUGCCGCGUGAAUGAUGAAGGUCUUAGGAUUGUAAAAUUCUUUCACCGGGGACGAUAAUGACGGUACCCGGAGAAGAAGCUCCGGCUAACUUCGUGCCAGCAGCCGCGGUAAUACGAAGGGGGCUAGCGUUGCUCGGAAUUACUGGGCGUAAAGGGCGCGUAGGCGGACAGCUUAGUCAGAGGUGAAAGCCCAGGGCUCAACCUUGGAAUUGCCUUUGAUACUGGCUGUCUUGAGUACGGGAGAGGUGAGUGGAACUCCGAGUGUAGAGGUGAAAUGCGUAGAUAUUCGGAAGAACACCAGUGGCGAAGGCGACUCACUGGCCCGUUACUGACGCUGAGGCGCGAAAGCGUGGGGAGCAAACAGGAUUAGAAACCCUUGUAGUCC